rnacentral:rRNA from 1 species
UGUAAGCGUAUACCAAAGUUGUUGCAGUUAAAACGCUCGUAGUCGGAAUUUGGCAGUUCCGGAUGUGUGCACGUCGUGUGCGCACUUCGCGGGGAUUGCUUUUGUGGUCUUGCGUAGGAUGAGGCACUUUUAUAGUGAACGUCCUCACGCAACCACUUUUUACUGUGAGAAAAUCAGAGUGCUCAAAGCAGGCAUUUGCCGUGAAUGUAUUAGCAUGGAAUAAUAGAAUAGGACUUGGUUCUAUUUUGUUGGUUUGUUGGGACUGAGUAAUGAUUAAGAGGGACAGUUGGGGGCAUUUGUAUUUCGGUGCUAGAGGUGAAAUUCUUAGAUUACCGAAAGACAAACUGCUGCGAAAGCGUCUGCCAAGGAUGUUUUCAUUGA